GAGUUUGAUCCUGGCUCAAAUUGAACGCUGGCGGCAGGCUUAACACAUGCAAGUGGAGCGGAAACGAUGGGAGCUUGCUCCCAGGCGUCAAGCGGCGGACGGGUGAGUAACGCGUAGGAAUCUACCCAGUAGCGGGGGAUAGCCCGGGGAAACUCGGAUUAAUACCGCAUACGCCCUAAUGGGGAAAGCAGGGGAUCUUCGGACCUUGCACUAUUGGAUGAGCCUGCGUGAGAUUAGCUUGUUGGUGGGAGUAACGGCCUACCAAGGCGACGAUCUCUAGCUGGUCUGGGGUGAAAUUCCGGGGCUCAACCCCGGAACUGCCUUUGAUACUGGCAAUUUCGAGUUCGAGAGAGGUGAGUGGAAUUCCGAGUGUAGAGGUGAAAUUUGUAGAUAUUUGGAGGAACACCAGUGGGGAAGGCGGCUUUCUGGCUUGACCCUGAGGGUCAGGUGGGAAAGCGUGGGGAGCAAACAGGAUUAGAUACCCUGGUAGUC
rnacentral:rRNA from 1 species